rnacentral:rRNA from 1 species
UACGGAGGGUGCAAGCGUUAUCCGGAUUCAUUGGGUUUAAAGGGUGCGCAGGCGGGGCCUUAAGUCAGUGGUGAAAUCCCUUCGCUUAACGAAGGAACUGCCAUUGAUACUGAGGUUCUUGAAUGUAGUUGACGUUAGUGGAAUGUGUCAUGUAGCGGUGAAAUGCUUAGAUAUGACACAGAACACCGAUCGCGAAGGCAGCUAACGAAGCUAUUAUUGACGCUCAGGCACGACAGCAUGGGGAGCAAAUGGG